rnacentral:rRNA from 1 species
GACGAACGCUGGCGGCGUGCUUAACACAUGCAAGUCGAACGGUGAAGGUGGAGCUUGCUCCGCCGGAUCAGUGGCGAACGGGUGAGUAACACGUGGGCAACCUGCCCCUGACUUUGGGAUAACUCCGGGAAACCGGGGCUAAUACCGGAUAACAUUUUGAACCGCAUGGUUCGAAAUUGAAAGGCGGCUUCGGCUGUCACUUAUGGAUGGACCCGCGUCGCAUUAGCUAGUUGGUGAGGUAACGGCUCACCAAGGCAACGAUGCGUAGCCGACCUGAGAGGGUGAUCGGCCACACUGGGACUGAGACACGGCCCAGACUCCUACGGGAGGCAGCAGUAGGGAAUCUUCCGCAAUGGACGAAAGUCUGACGGAGCAACGCCGCGUGAGUGAUGAAGGCUUUCGGGUCGUAAAACUCUGUUGUUAGGGAAGAACAAGUGCUAGUUGAAUAAGCUGGCACCUUGACGGUACCUAACCAGAAAGCCACGGCUAACUACGUGCCAGCCGCCGCAGUAA